rnacentral:rRNA from 1 species
GAUGGACGCUGGCGGCGUGCUUAACACAUGCAAGUCGAACGAAGCAUUUAAGACAGAUUACUUCGGUUUGAAGUCUUUUAUGACUGAGUGGCGGACGGGUGAGUAACGCGUGGGUAACCUGCCUCAUACAGGGGGAUAGCAGCUGGAAACGGCUGGUAAUACCGCAUAAGCGCACAGUACCACAUGGUACAGUGUGAAAAACUCCGGUGGUAUGAGAUGGACCCGCGUCUGAUUAGCUAGUUGGCGGGGUAACGGCCCACCAAGGCGACGAUCAGUAGCCGACCUGAGAGGGUGACCGGCCACAUUGGGACUGAGACACGGCCCAGACUCCUACGGGAGGCAGCAGUGGGGAAUAUUGCACAAUGGAGGAAACUCUGAUGCAGCGACGCCGCGUGAGUGAAGAAGUAGUUCGCUAUGUAAAGCUCUAUCAGCAGGGAAGAUAGUGACGGUACCUGACUAAGAAGCUCCGGCUAAAUACGUG